UAAUAAAUAAAUAUCUCACAAUUUGAGCCUGCUUUGCCCAUGAUGGCAUUUGAAGGUGUACAAGCUGUUGCAGUUGGCCAUCUCUGGAAGGCCCUCAAGCUGUUCACAAAAAAUUUAGCACUAGGAAUCACCUGGAGUGCUGUGCUCCGUUCUGAGCCCUCCAGAACAAGAGACACAUGGCCGAGUCCAGCAAAAGGCCACGAAGAAGAUGAAGGGCCUGAAGCACCUGAAGAGACAGCAACCUGAAGACAGGCUGUGAGAGCUGGGACCAUUUAUUCUGGAGAAGGCUCAGGGUAGAUCACAUCUGUGGAUGCAGGUCCCUGGUGGGAGGAAGUAAAGAAGAUAGAUCUAAGCUCUUUUCAGCAGUGCCCAGUGACAAGACAAGAAGCAAUGCAUCCAAACCGAAACACAGGAGGUUCCAUUUGAACAUCAGGAGACACUCUUUUACCAUGCAACUUACUGAGCACUGGCACAUGUUUCUAGAGAUGUUUUGGAGUCUUCCAUGGCCACUGUAAAAUUGAAGUGACUUAAUUUUAUUCAGUCAAGUUACUAAUUUCUAUUUUGGAUUAGCUCUCAUAUUUGAAGGAAAGUAUUUAAGGACAUGUCAUGGUUUUUUUAGCUACCCCAUGACAG